UACGUAGGGGCAAGCGUUGUCCGGAUUUAUUGGGCGUAAAGCGCGUGUAGGCGGCCAGGGAGGUCCGUUGUGAAAACUCGAGGCUCAACCUCGAGACGCCGAUGGAAACCCCCUGGCUAGAGUCCGGAAGAGGAGAAUGGAAUUCCUGGUGUAGCGGUGAAAUGCGCAGAUAUCAGGAAGAACACCCGUGGCUAAGGCGGUUCUCUAGUACGGUACUGACGCUGAGACGCGAAAGCGUGGGGAGCGAACAGG
rnacentral:rRNA from 1 species